CGGGUAAGUUUUUUAAUAUGUAAAAACAACCACGUAAUACGGGGAUAUUUAUAAAUCUACCAGAUUUUAUACUACAUUGGAUGUUAAUCCUAAAAAUUCACAAAUUCUGGAAUUUCGCGUGCAAUGGAAGAAACAUCAACUUACUUACACUUUUAUGAAUCAUGUCUUUGGUUUUAAGAGGGAUGGGUUAUAUGAUCCCCCAUCAUCUU
rnacentral:lncRNA from 1 species